rnacentral:rRNA from 1 species
CUUUGGGAUAACCCUCGGAAACGGGGGCUAAUACCGGAUAUGACCUUUGACCGCAUGGUUUUGGGUGGAAAGUUUUUCGGCUUGGGAUGGGCCCGCGGCCUAUCAGCUUGUUGGUGGGGUGAUGGCCUACCAAGGCGACGACGGGUAGCCGGCCUGAGAGGGCGACCGGCCACACUGGGACUGAGACACGGCCCAGACUCCUACGGGAGGCAGCAGUGGGGAAUAUUGCACAAUGGGCGGAAGCCUGAUGCAGCGACGCCGUGUGGGGGAUGACGGCCUUCGGGUUGUAAACCUCUUUCAGUAGGGACGAAGCGCAAGUGACGGUACCUACAGAAGAAGCGCCGGCCAACUACGUGCCAGCAGCCGCGGUAAGACGUAGGGCGCGAGCGUUGUCCGGAUUUAUUGGGCGUAAAGAGCUCGUAGGCGGUUUGUCGCGUCGACUGUGAAAUUCCGUGGCUUAACUGUGGGCGUGCAGUCGAUACGGGCAGGCUAGAGUUCGGUAGGGGAGACUGGAAUUCCUGGUGUAGCGGUGAAAUGCGCAGAUAUCAGGAGGAACACCGGUGGCGAAGGCGGGUCUCUGGGCCGAUACUGACGCUGAGGAGCGAAAGCGUGGGGAGCGAACAGGAUUAGAUACCCUGGUAGUCCACGCUGUAAACGUUGGGCGC